UACGAAGGGUGCAAACGUUGCUCGGAAUUAUUGGGCGUAAAGCGCACGUAGGCGGCUUCGCAAGUCGGAUGUGAAAUCCCUCGGCUCAACCAAGGAAGUGCAUCCGAAACUGCAGAGCUUGAGUACCAAAGAGGAUCGCGGAAUUCCCGGUGUAGAGGUGAAAUUCGUAGAUAUCGGGAGGAACACCAGUGGCGAAGGCGGCGAUCUGGGUGGAUACUGACGCUGAGGUGCGAAAGCGUGGGGAGCAAACAGG
rnacentral:rRNA from 1 species